CCUACGGGGGGCAGCAGUGGGGAAUAUUGGGCAAUGGGCGAGAGUCUGAACCAGCCAAGUAGCGUGAAGGAUGACUGCCCUAUGGGUUGUAAACUUCUUUUAUAUGGGAAUAAAAUGUUCCACGUGUGGGAUUUUGUAUGUACCAUAUGAAUAAGGAUCGGCUAACUCCGUGCCAGCAGCCGCGGUAAUACGGAGGAUCCGAGCGUUAUCCGGAUUUAUUGGGUUUAAAGGGAGCGUAGGUGGAUUGUUAAGUCAGUUGUGAAAGUUUGCGGCUCAACCGUAAAAUUGCAGUUGAAACUGGCAGUCUUGAGUACAGUAGAGGUGGGCGGAAUUCGUGGUGUAGCGGUGAAAUGCUUAGAUAUCACGAAGAACUCCGAUUGCGAAGGCAGUUCACUGGACUGCAACUGACACUGAGGCUCGAAAGUGUGGGUAUCAAACAGGAUUAGAUACCCGAGUAGUC
rnacentral:rRNA from 1 species